rnacentral:lncRNA from 1 species
CAUGAUUUCACCUGCAUUUAUUGAAGAACAACAACUACAAAUUAUUUCAGCCAUUCCAGUUAACACCUCAACAGUUGAAGAAAUAAGAGAGAGAUCAUUCAUUCAUUACCCUGCCAAACUGCAAGGUAAACCUUGCCUUUAAUCCUUCCAUCUAUCCAUGAUUUCUCCCGCAUUCAUUGAGAAGAACUAACAAUUGUGAUUAUUUAUUAUCUCAGUUUAUUCAAUACCAUAGCAACAGCCAACCAACACAUUCUCAAGGUAUUUUAUGCUAUCUCAGUUCACUACUUUCAUAUACACAUUUUACACCCCAACAGAGCAUGCUUCAUGUAUUAAAGGUUCAGAAAUAUAGGAUUAAGCAUACUACAGAGGGACAUAGCAAACCAUAUGCGAAUACAUGAUUUAUGGCGUUUCACAGAAGUAGUAUGAUUCAUACAUU